UCGAUACGCCUCUGAUGUGUGAGGUCGUCGUCGCCUCCCUCCCUUCAACACCACCACCAGAACUGGUCGACGAUGCCGGUCGCCUCCAUCUCUUCUUUACGGUCCAUGGCGCCGACGAGCAUAGGUGGACUCCCCACCACGGCUUCCUCCCCACCAACGGCGAGCGUGGUGUCCCAUCUCUACUAUGCUGGUACAAUACUUUCCUCAGAUCCGUCUUGGUGGAAACCCGAUGCAGGGCAAGUAAUUAUCAGCUGAGCAAAGGAUACAACAUGCUAGGAGGAGAAGUUUGAAUGGAGGCAGAGAGUACACUUGGAAAUAGAAUGGAAAAAGGAAGAGGAGACAAUGCUGAAGCACAAGAGCGAGAGGCUAGCGGAAGUUAAAGCAAUAAACUAUAAGCAUUUUGAAUGAUUAGGGCCUCAUGUUGUUGGGAACAUUACAACCAUGGGGAAAGCUAAUUUUGGUUGCUAGUUUAGCAUAGAAGCCACUAUAUGCUCAUUUUGGUUGUGUGUCGCAUCCAAAAACAUAUGUAAUUUUCCUUUUGUUGUACAACACCCUUAUAUAUUGGCGUUUCUAGAAACAUAUGUAUUUGGUCGUUAAU